rnacentral:rRNA from 1 species
UACGUAGGGGGCAAGCGUUGUUCGGAAUUACUGGGCGUAAAGGGCGCGUAGGCGGCACAGCAAGUCGGGCGUGAAAGCCCGGGGCUCAACCCCGGAACGGCUUUCGAAACUGCUGAGCUAGAGUACAGAAGGGGCAACCGGAAUUCCCAGUGUAGCGGUGAAAUGCGUAGAUAUUGGGAAGAACACCUGAGGCGAAGGCGGCUUGCUGGACCUGGUCUGACGCUGAGGCGCGAAAGCGUGGGGAGCGAACAGG